GGGGAAUAUUGGACAAUGGGCGCAAGCCUGAUCCAGCCAUACCGCGUGGGUGAAGAAGGCCUUCGGGUUGUAAAGCCCUUUUGUUGGGAAAGAAAUCCUAUCGGUUAAUAACCGGUGGGGAUGACGGUACCCAAAGAAUAAGCGCCGGCUAACUUCGUGCCAGCAGCCGCGGUAAUACGAAGGGUGCAAGCGUUACUCGGAAUUACUGGGCGUAAAGCGUGCGUAGGUGGUGGUUUAAGUCUGCUGUGAAAGCCCUGGGCUCAACCUGGGAAUUGCAGUGGAUACUGGAUCACUAGAGUGUGGUAGAGGGAUGCGGAAUUCCUGGUGUAGCAGUGAAAUGCGUAGAGAUCAGAAGGAACAUCCGUGGCGAAGGCGGCAUCCUGGGCCAACACUGACACUGAGGCACGAAAGCGUGGGGAGCAAAC
rnacentral:rRNA from 1 species